AUGCCCCUCUUGGUCUUGGGGCUCGCACUUUUCUGGAUCUGUUGGUUGUUGGCGCUUCUGCGUACUGGCCUACCACGUGGCGAUGGCGUCAGCCAAAGACGUCCAGAGAUCAAAAUAGUGGGACAUAUCCUCGACACUGUAUUUCCUCAGUCGGCCUCACUGCCUUGGCAAGAAGAGAUCCUUCGGCUGCGUAUCCCAUCUUCAGGGGAGGGUGAUUGUGUUGCAUGGCACUUCGAGAAGACGGGGAUGUUCUCAGUUAAAAGCGGGUACAAGCUUGCACUCAUGCUAAAGGAACAAAAAGAAGACGAGGGGCAAUACAACGAGGCAACAUUGGGGGAGAGGAAAAUUUGGGACAUCAUCUGGAAGGCCAAUGUUCCUCAGAAGAUCCGUAUUUUUGCAUGGCGGGCCGCUACCAAUAGCUUGGCUGUCCAAGUAAACAGAGUGGCACACCACCAAGCGACUCUCAGUACGUGCUUGAUAUGUCGAGUGAAGGACCAGAAUACGUUUCAUGCGCUUGUUACGUGCCCCAAGGCUCAUGCGUUGCACAUGGCCAUGAGAGAUAUUUGGGAGUUACCGACGGAGGAUGCAUUCAGUCAUUCAAGGCCAUUGGAGGAUUCAAAGAAUAAAGGGAAAAUUCCGAUGAGUGGUCUGCAAAGUGCUCCAAAUAUUUUGGAAGUUCGGAUGGGUUGGAAGCCCCCACCUUCAGGUUAUAUCAAAAUUAAUGUCGACACAAGCUUUGUGGAAAGUAUUAGCGCGGCAAGUGUGGGUGUGGUGGCUAGGGAUUUUGCUGGCAAAGUCUUGAUCUCUUCAUGGGACUACAUUGGGAGGUGUAGUAGCGUGGAGGAAGCGGAACUCCGAGCUUGCAUUGUUGGUCUCUAUAUAGGUUUAAGAAAUCCUCUUGAGUCGCCCAUCCAAAAGGAUGGGAACUGCGAGUAA
rnacentral:rRNA from 1 species